ensembl:lncRNA
GGCGUGUAUCUACUGUAAAGCGCUUUAACCUCAGUGCUACUUUCUCACCGAGCAGGGACAGGAAGACACUUAACGGCUCAACAACAUUCACGUUUAUCUUUGUGCUUUCUUUCCCUCUUAAAUUAGCUGUCCUGUCUCGUUUAAAUCUAGAAUCAAGUUGCACAACGUGUAGUGUGCGAAAACAUUAGCACCUUUUUAUCCACUAAACUCCUGAGAUACUUUCUGAAUCGGAGUGCUGCAGUUACAGGGUAAGUGGGGCGUCAAAGUUACGCUUGACAUUUUUCUAAGCGGUUUUACGACCUACAAAGUCCUUACUUAGAGCUUUAUUUCCGUUUUGGUAUACUUGGACAAUUGCUGAACAACUUUUUAUUCAGUUGUAGACGUUUUACACGUUAUGUGAAACCAAACCAAGCAAACAGAAAAACUUGUUGUUAGGGCGGUCACUCGAGUCGCGUGAACCAGGAUUUUUAUUAACUUUAUAAUGCUUUUAUGUUGCUUAUGUCUCAUAGUUACUGUGAGGAAUGAGUCUUAAUAGCUAAUAAAAAGAUAGAUAUAUCUUUUAAAACUUUCUCUUUGUUGUACUGAACUGUUGUGGUGUGUGUUUUUAUCUUCAGCAUGCUCGUAUGCGUUUAGUUAAACCGAUAGGAUUAUAUUAAGGGGGGGAGAACAGCCUUGCUACUACAUAUCUUAAAGACCUUUUCAAGUAUAGGGUGCCUAUUGGUGUUCAGUGCACGUGACUUUAGGCUCCGCCCACACGUCCAAAACCAUUUGUAAGUAUAAGCGGUUCUGGACUUCUGGUUGAUGUUAAAUGAAAACAUUUAUUUCAUUAAAUUUUAAUUAUAAGUUCAUUAAAUCAUGAAGGGAUAUUAUCUUUUUAAAAACGGUUCAACUUGGAGCCCUUUCUUUCUUGUAUGGUAACUUUUUAGUGCUCCAAAUAUCCAUAACUAUCUGUGUUUGAAUUUAAACAGGAAGUGGGCGUGGCCUAAACUACAAUGUGUGUUUUUUUGUUUUUGUUUGUUUGUUUGUUUGUUUGUUUCUAAAUUAACAAUUUCCCUGGGUUAGGGAAACAUUGAGAAAACUAUGGAAUUAAAUAUGUGCCAAAGGUGCCAGAAGUAUUGAACGUAACUUUUCAAUGAGAAAGAAGAAAAACGCUGAAAGUGAAAACAGUGAACUCGGUGGCAAAAAUGUAACACGGUCUUCAAAUAAACAGCGUUCUUUGUUAACAGUUUUCUAAGCUUCCUUUUCGCUAAUUAUGGUUUAUGAAUUCACUGGCAGUUUUCGUUAACAUUUACGUUCACCACUCUGGCACAAACCUCUCUUGUAGGUGGGAUUAACAGCGCUUUACUUUCAUGUGCUAGUGAGAUUUGGAUCGACAGCUCGAGUGUCCAGCUGAGGAUGAUGAUGAUGAUGACGAUGACGCCGCUCCUGAGAGCUCAUCUUGAAAAAAUCGUUGUGCAGUUUAGGGCAGCCCCAGAAAGAGACGCUUCCAGCCAACUCUGCAAAGAGAAGAUACAACUGGCAUGUAAACAGAGGACCAAAGCUCUGUUUUCAUUGGUAGUGGACAUGGAAGGCGCUUUAAUAACAUUAACAAGGUAAUUGUAAAUAUAGCACUAUUGCAGAAUUCUUUACACUUAAUAAAUGGUUGUGACUGAGAAGUCGCAUUACUCUUAAUAUUGAAAGAGAAAGCAGCUGAGAUACACAAAAACUAAAUAUCUUUUGACUGUUUUCAGUAAAUGAAAUGAAAUAAUAAAUACACUGGCGAUUUUUGGAAAAUUGUCCUUGAUUUUGUCAUAAUCCUAUAAUUUUGGAUGUAGCCCCGUUUGUGCUGUCUGCUUGCCUGGAUUUCUCUGUCAGGAUGCCCCAGUGUUUUAGUAGUGUUUUCGUCUCAGUUCGCCUACUUAUACUACGCACUGAAAGUAUGUGAUCUUUUUGUUAAGAAAAAGUAUAUACUUUCGAGAGUGUAGCAAAAGAGUAUGCCAGUACUGGGACAUACUAACACAUCGUGUAAUGAAAGAGAAGGUUGUUGCCUAGAUAUGCACACUGUCAGCGUAAACAAACUCCUCACUGCAUUUCAGCUUUUCUUCAUUCAUUAUUCCUUAUAUAAUAUAUACUAUAUAGUUUAAUUUACCAUUCCCUUGAUUUAUUUUUCCACACUUCUCUAAAAUGCGUCCUUGAAUUCGGUGAAGCAAACCGUCACAAAACUCCUCCUCCUUCACACGAGGAUAUUGCCUAUAUUGUGGGCAAUAUUCGCUGAAAAAGUGUCCACGGUUCAACGCUUCGAAAAUCUAGUGGAAAUAGUAGAGCUUCCGGGUGCCUCUGGGAAUCGUGUCAACAUAAUACGAUUUGGGUCACAGUAAUUCUAAUCCCGGAGACUAUUUAGGACGGACUGUAGGCGAAUUGGGACGCAGCAUAAAUAUUUUAGUAGUGUGUUGUGACCAUUGUAACUAUCCUCAGCUGUUCUACGAGUGUUUCUGUGGGGGUGUGUGUGUGGACUGACACAGCUUUUUUGAAUCAGUGCACACUGAUGUCAAAAGUUCACCUUGGUAUUUGUAUUAUAUUGCAAGGUUUAUCACAGCAGCCAUAUAUAAUUGCAUUCUUUUAUUUUGUCCACAUGUUGCAGCUUGAGAUGGGAGCUAUAAAAACAUUCACAUAUGAAGUGAACACCAGGUUCAGGAUUAGGAAACACUGGUCUACCAUAUGGACAGCCAGCUGAGCACAUUAGCAUUAUGUUGGUGUUAUGAUAUGUGAGCUGCGUAAUUAGUCGAUUAUUAGGAUUAGGUUUUUGGCAGUGAGUUAUUAUAACUAAAAAAAAACCUACAAUAAAUGUAUAUGUUCUUUUGAUCACCGUGUGGUAUAAAGAAAUACUCAUAAAUUACCCAGCAUCAAUGUAAUUUUUACACCAUGUCUAAUAUUUUAGCACAGAAGAGUUUAUGGCUGCCAACAGUACUAGGGGUGUAUCAGGUACACAAAAUUGUAAUUUGAUAGGAUACAGUAAUGUAGUGUCUCAAUACAUUUUCGAUACCAAAAAAGGAAGCACUGCCUGAAUAUGUGCCUCAGGUUUCGGUCUUAAAUUGAUAAACAUUAUAAAAGUAUAAUAAUUGAAACUUAAUAAAGACACAGUGAUUGCUUGUCAGACUCUUAGCAGGAGAUAAUGAAGCAAAACCUGAACGUAAUAAAAUGACCCAUGAUUAAGCUUUAACUGGUGUGACUAACAAGCAGGCAUGUGUGAAGCACAGGAGUUUUUACAUUCUGCUGUUAGUUAGAAUCAUGUAGCUCUCUGUAGCCCUAGAUGUGUUUUUGAAUCCUGUUGAUCUCCAAGGAUUCUCCCUUUGCUUCAGGGGUUUCUCUGGGUACUCUGGUUUCCUCCCCCAGUCGAAAGACAUGUGUUUUAGGCUGAGUGGUUUUUCCAAAUUGUCUGUAGUGUGUGAAUGGAUUCCCCUUGGAUAAUCAGUACAGAAAAUUCGAUAGAUGGAUGGAUGGAUGGAUGAAUGUAGCAGAGAGUUUAAUAUGUGUGUACACAUAGUGUGUGUGUGUGUGUGUGUGUGUGUGUGUGUGUGUGUGUGUGUGUGUGUGUGUGUGUUGCUUCAUGUUUUUGUCUAGUAUUUGAGACAAUGCAGAAUGGUGAUGUCAGACAUGUCUGCGGUAUUAGCACCUGUGUAUUGUUCUCAUAGUUGGCAGAUUUGGGACACUGUAGUCUUUUGGUCCAGAACUCACUGGCCAUCAGCAUCAGUGUUUACUGGGAAGCCGAAGCGCUCCCUUACACUUGCAGAAAUCUUCCAGUUCUAGUCAUUGCUGCUUUUCCUGCUAGUAUUCCAGUGUGUUUGUUCGUGAAAAACGGUGUGCUUAUGAGAAGUGUGUUGUUUUUUUUAAAACCCCUGUAGCCUUUGCUGAAUUGAGAAAAAAGGAAGCUACUUUGUCAGAGGAGGAGCUGUGGGCUUGAUUGAGUUUAUUACACAUCACGUAAUAAAAGCAGUAUUUUAUGAUGACUAGCCUACUUUUUUAUACAGUCUGUUGAAUGUAUUGUUCAGUACGAAGAUGCAUCAAAUCGUCAGCCCCAUUUUGAUUGAUAAGAUACGCUUUAUCGUUACACCCCUACUACCUACACUAUAUGACCAAAAGUAUGUGGACACCUGACUAUCACACCCAUACUGUGUGUGUAUCCCUAAACUGAUGCAAUAAAGUUUGAAGCACACAAUUGUCUACAAUGACUUUAGCAUUAAGAAUUCCCCUUUACUGGAACUAAGAGCCCAAACAUGUUCCAGCAUGACAAAGCCCCUGUGCACAAAGUGAGGUUCAUGAGGUUUGUGUGGGAGAACUUGAGUAGCAUGCAAAGAGCCCUCAACCCCACUGAACACCUUUUAGGAUGAACCGGCUCGCCACCAAGCUCCAAGCCUUCUCGUCCGGCAUCAAUGCCCGGCCACACUGAUUCUCUGACGGCUGAAUGAGCACAAAUCCCCACAGCCACACUCCAAAGUCUAGUGGAAAUCCUUCCCAGAAGAGUUGAGUGUAUUCUAACAGCAAAGUGGGACUAAAUCUGAAAUGUGCUGUUUAAAAAGCACAUAUGGGUGUAAUUAUUCAAGUGUCCACAAACUUUUGGCAAUAUAGUGUACCUAUAAUUUGUACCUGUUUUUACUAAGAUGAAAAAUAAACAGAUAGAUUUAGGUUGUGUUUUUUAUUAUAAUUUUAUUGGGCAAGACAAAGCAUUUAUAUAGAUAUCUAUGUGAUGUAUUCAAUGACGGAGAAGAGAGCAACAGAUUACAAUAAAAAAAGACCGAACAUAAAUAUAUAAAUGCAAUGUAAUUCCUUGUCAGAUUUAUGAACUUGUAAAAGUAUCAAAUCUAAGUAGAAGCUGAACAUUCGACAUUAUGUUGAGGGUUCUCUCUACUGUAAUGUUUCGAGGGGAUUAAUGGAUAGAGAGAGUUAAAUAUGGCUAAAGAAAGUUAAUAGGGAGGACGUAAACUGAAAGUUCUAUACAUUUCCUUUAUGCACUGAAAUAUUGAUUCUCAGAUUCUCUGUCACUGUCCCUACAACAGUGGAGGUGCCAAACUAGAAGCUGCUUACGAUAGUGGUGUAUCAGUCUCCAGUACUUAGGUAGAAUACUGUGGUAUUAUGGGAGCUUAAAAGACAUCCUGUGGUAAAUUUAAUGCUAAAAGCCUUCUUCUGAAGUGGGUUAUGGAACCUUGUUCUGAAAAGCCACAGUGGUAGUGUAAAGUCUGUGUGUGUGAGAGAGAAAAGCAAAUUUUCCCUAUAUUUAUUAUUUAGUCCUUCUAUGGUACUAAAAAGUUAUAGUAAGGGGGGGGGGGGAUUCCCAAGCACAGAUACUCCAGAUUUCACAUCUAUGCUGAUGUAAGAGGUAGGCGUAUUCUGUUUACACUAUGUCUAAUGGUGCAAAGUUUGCAUCGAACGGGCUGUGAAACGCAUGACACAUGACAAAUCCUUGCUGAAGAUUUGAACAUUCAUGAUGUACCUGGUGGGAAAAAGGCUCGAGAUUGCACUGUAGAUUACAGCUGACAUAAGUUGGCAGUUUUACUUGAGCUGGAGAGCUCAAAUUUCCAGUGGAAAUAUAGCAAAUAUCUAAACAACAAAAUCUCAACACUGUCCUCUGGCUGGAAGUGAAUAAUAUAUUUAAUCAUGGAUUGGAUAUUUGAAAGUAGAGAUUUUGUUAGCCUGGUAGUUCAACCAAAGAGAAUAAUAACUUAAAUAACAUACAAUUAUACAUUCAGUGUUCUAUUGUACUUCUAAAAAUAAACAGGGAUUAUGUAACAGGGGUGAGUCAUAUACUGUACAUAGUCAUUACGCUAUGUAUUAUUGUAUUAUUAGUUCAAGUGUUAAACUGUCUCAUGUUCAUUUCAAACCUACAUUAGUGUCAGGGUUGUUGAUGUCUCAGUGCCACCAAAGGAAGCCAUCAUAGCUGAGUAAUUAGGAUCAAAUCCAUCACAGAAGCAGUGAAAACUAAGUGCACCAAUGAGCCUAUAAAGGCCAGGUUAUGGUUUAAAUAAUACUAGAAAUCUAAAAUGUACAAUUGAAAUAAAGGUUAACAAUGUGAUGGAAGAAAAAAGCUGUUCACAUCACCUUAUCUGUGAGCUACAAUGGCAUGUUUCUAGAUUUUCAGAUCACCGAUGCUUGAAAUAAAGGUUGUGUAAGAUAUGUCGUAGGUUCAUUGAGAGUUUGUUUCCCAAAGUCAUCCUUUAAAGGUAUUAAGAGAUUUGAAAGCAUUGCAUACCAUCAUGAACGUCAGAAAAAUUCAAAUGUUAACGCUACAGCCAUUCUGUUGGUUAUAUCCAUUCUGUACAUUUACUGUGGACUUUAUGAGAAACACCUCAACACCUGUUCAUUCUUGCAAUUAUACAAUCAGCCAGUCAAGUGGCAGUGCUGUGGCUUUAGUUAAUGUUCACAUCAAGCAUCAGAAAGGGCGUAAAUGUGUUCUUUGUGUGACUUUGACCGUGGCAUGGUUGUUGGUUCCAGACAAGCUGGUUUGAGUAUUUCAGAAACUGCUGAUCUCCUGAGAUUUUCACACACAACACUCUAGCGUUUACACAAAAUGGUGCAAAAACAUCCAGUGAGUGGCAGUUGUGCGGGCAGAAACACCUUGUUGAUGAGAGAGGUCAGAGGAGAAUGGCCAGACUGGUUUGAGCUGACAGGAAGGUUAUGGUUACUAAAAUAACCAGUGUUUACAACCAUGACGAGCAGAACCACUGAGCAGAACAUACUGAACCAUGAGACAGAUGGGCUACAACAGAAGAUGACCACAUUUGGUUCCACUCCUGUCAGCCAUGAACAGGAAUCUGAGGCUAUACCGGGCACAGGCUCACCGAAACUGGAUCAUUGGUGAUAUUUUUCUUCAACUGUUAAGUUUCUUGGCUGACGGGAGCGGAAUCCCAUGUGGCUUGCUUGGCCGAUUGUAUAAUUGCAUGAACGAGCAGGUGUACAGGGGUUUCUAUUAAAGUGGACUGUGAUUGCAUAUCUAUCAGUUACUUGAUGAGAUCUGAUAAAUGAACAGUACAACAAAAGCUCAUCUUUGAAUUGAUUCCACCAUGACCUAUAACAUGUAAGCUUGUUGCAAAAAAAUGUGUAGAGAGAAGCAGUUAGUUAGCGGUUAGAUAGUAAUUGUCAGAGAAUGGGCAUGUAGAAACCGCAGAAAGUGCAGAAAUAAGCUACUAUUGAGAGAGGCAGUCAGACAAAUCAAAAAUGCGACGCAAAAUCAAAAUCCAGGCGAGGCAAAACACGUGAAUAUAUAAACAGGCAAAAAGUCAAAAACAGGAACAAGGCUUGGUAAUGCACAGGAGGCAAAACACUGAUUAAUACUGUGCGGGGAACAAACACGAGGGGUUUAAAUAAACAGAUUAAUCAAGGGCGAAACAGGAACAGGUGUGCAUCACACUUGAGGAGAAACGACCAAUGAUACAAGGGUGGAGACAGGACAACAAGCAAGACAUAAAUACACGUGGUAACAUCAACAAUGACAUGGCAAUGUGGAAGGCGCUCAGUGCUAUGGGGGAAAUCCCUGACAGUAAUCUGUUCAUAGUACUAUCGAAUCUCUUCAUCUGCACAAUGUGGCAUUUCUACAGGAUGUAGUGGCGAUGUAUUGAGGCAUUAUUAUUAACGUCAUUAACAACAACAGCCGAAUCUGUACGGAGGCAAUACUUAGAGCUGGCCGUGCAGGGUGGCAAUACUUUUGAGAGCCAACCAAAUAGUGUGCCAGUACUUUUGAGAGCUGGGCAGAUUGG